AUGUCGGCUCUUCCUAUCAUUGUGAAGCAUAAUUCACAACGUGUUGGAUUGUUCACCCGUUAAUAGGGAACGUGAGCUGGGUUUAGACCGUCGUGAGACAGGUUAGUUUUACCCUACUGAUGAAUCGAUGUUGCGACAGUAAUCUUACUUAGUACGAGAGGAACCGUUAGAUCAGAUAAUUGGUUAAUACGGUUAGCUGAAAAGCUAAUGCCGUGAAGCUACCAUCUGCUGGAUUAUGACUGAAAGCCUCUAAGUCAGAACCCAUUCUGAAAAGCAACGUUCAACCAAUAAUAAAUGAAAACCAAUAAGGGAAACCUUAAGUUCAGAGGUAUGGCGUUGACACCCGAAAGGGCUUAGACAAAAGUACCAAUCAAUUUCAAUUAUUAUUGUAACAGAUCUUCUGUAGACGACUUAACAUGGAAGGGG
rnacentral:rRNA from 1 species